UCAAAGCUCGAAGGACCAAAUUGGUCACGC
rnacentral:sRNA from 1 species